rnacentral:rRNA from 1 species
AACGAACGCUGGCGGCAGGCUUAACACAUGCAAGUCGAACGCAUCCUUCGGGGUGAGUGGCAGACGGGUGAGUAACGCGUGGGAACGUGCCCUUCAGUUCGGGAUAACCCAGGGAAACUUGGGCUAAUACCGGAUACGUGCGAGAGCAGAAAGAUUUAUCGCUGAAGGAUCGGCCCGCGUCUGAUUAGCUAGUUGGUGGGGUAAUGGCCCACCAAGGCGACGAUCAGUAGCUGGUCUGAGAGGAUGAUCAGCCACAUUGGGACUGAGACACGGCCCAAACUCCUACGGGAGGCAGCAGUGGGGAAUAUUGGACAAUGGGCGCAAGCCUGAUCCAGCCAUGCCGCGUGAGUGAUGAAGGCCUUAGGGUUGUAAAGCUCUUUCGGCGGGGACGAUGGUGACGGUACCCGCAGAAGAAGCCCCGGCUAACUUCGUGCCAGCCGCCGCAGUAA